ACACUCCCAUCAGUGUACCACAUGCAUCCGUCCAAUUCAGACAUAAUGUUAGCCAGGCUAAACAUCCUACACAUACUGAUCCACCCUGAUCAACCAAAACAUCUAUACUCGUCCUAUCAGCCCUUAGACCCGAUCAAUGACUAUGCAGCCAGUGAUCCAAUCAACCGGCUAUCGCGCUUUCAGUCUCACUUUACCCAGUCUUCAUCUCUCGAUCAGAACAUGUCGUGAUUCGUUGGCUUGAAUCCUUAGCCAAUCAGACUCUUGCUAUCAUCCAAAGUUCAUGUCCCAAAUCCUGACCUUGCGCUUCAAGCAAAUCAUCAUCUUUCUUGGCUAGUAAGUAUAUCCACGAAAUCAUUCU
rnacentral:lncRNA from 1 species